UACGUCCAAAUCACAUUUAAACACCGGUUCUCGUACGAUCACCGAAGUUAAGCAACGUCAAGCCUGGUCACUACCUAGAUGGGUGACCGCUUGGAAAUACCAGGUGCU